AAAAUAGCACUUUAUGGACUUCCACAGAGGACAUCAUGUUUAAUACGGUUCCGGAAAAAUCCAGUCAGAAGUUGUUCACGGAGUUUUCACAAUAACUGCUUCUCAUGAACCGAAGCUGGAUUUGCGCGACGUCUCCUCCUGAAAGUUGGAUUACUGUGCACUUCUGGAUCACAGGCUGUAAGUAUUCACGUUUAUUAUUUGCCUUUUACUGUACAUUACGUAACCGGUAACCGGAGAUUAACAUAAUGUGCGUGUAGAGCUAAGCUUGCAAGCGAACUGUUUUGUGUUGUAAUACUGUAUUUCAUAAACAACGUACCAUAUUUACACACGUGUAUGUUGAAUUAUGCAGACUAUCGUUUUUUUUUAUCGAUGUUGGUUAAGACAUGUUUACAAACUUGCUAAAUUACCAGCUUAACUGUUACUGGUAAAAUUUGUUCUCAUGAUCAAACUCAAGAAACUCUAAGUACAGAUGAUUUGUUUAAAGUUAUAUGUAUUUUACUGUUGUAUUUACUUGAAGCUUUCUUAGAUUUUGAAACGAAGUAAACACGUAAUGUGUGUUGCUAAUGUUGGGCCAUGUAAUAUGUAAUACAUUAACGUUUUAAUGAAUAGUCUAACGAUUUAUAGUCAUGGUACUCUAUUGUUAUAAUAUGUCUUUUUGACUGAAUACAUGUUUGUUUUAUUUGUCUAUAUCCUAGAUUCGCAGCUGGACACAUCCUUCUACACUGUAUGCAAACAUGCAACAUCAUAACACACAGUACAAGGAGUCAGACUGGCAUAUGAGGAGCAAAGGAACCCAGACAGUAGCAUCGUUUCACAAUGUUUCCAUCACCAUCAUCAGUGGAUGCCUUUGCCGUCCGUAGCCUGAGAUUUCAGAUUUGCAGCAAAAAAUUUUGAUUUUCUCAUUUAUUGGAAUGCUAUGCAGGUUGUACCUUGCAGCCAUCCAUUACAAUGUCACCAAGCCGUAACAAAAGCAGGAGAGGGAAAGUACAAGGCUAUGUUCCCAAAACACACAAAUGACAUACCUUAUGUGGAGGAUGUGAUCAGGCUUGUGUUUGAUGAGGUAUUUGAAGAUAAGCUGAAGGAAACCCCGAUUCCAAUGGACCUGGCAUCACAGUUUGAGAAACCUUCAAAGGAGGACGUGAUUGCAUGCCAUCUUCAGUGCAGGGGUCGUCGGAAGCCAACAUUCCAAUCAGGAAGCUCCAAGCGUAUCUGGAGAACAACACACGACAGGAUGAUAACCCUAAAGUGUCAUCUUAGAUAGCACCAGCUGACAAAGCUUUGAUAUGCCAUUUAUCUCAAUAGAUAGCUGUAAGAAGUGAAUUGAACAAUUUUUGAAAGAAUAGCACAAUAUGGUUACUAAAGUAUGUUUAUUUGUAUAUUGUUUAACAUUUAAAUAUAUAUUUGUAAUAAAUAAACUUUUGACUGACUACUAUAUUUUCUUUAAAGUUACAUCUUUUGUUCUUUUGGGUACUUUGUUACUAUAAUAAUACUUUAGUGUUAUUGGUUUAAAAAUUUAAUAAAACUGAAUCUAGUCCUGCGCCUCAAAGGCUUAUAGUCGGUACAAUAAAUGUUCUGUGUGUAGGGAUUUAGACAAUUUGUGCAAAACCUGGAUGAUGAAUCACGCAGGUAAGAGGCCCUGGAACAUGUUGCAUUCUCCUUAAAACCUAGUAAGUAAAAACAUAGCACAGUCUUUCAUAAUAAAGUUUACCAUAGUAAAAUAAUGUAGAACUAACAUUCAUUUCAAUUAAUACUUUCUUUGUGCUACAUUUGGUGUUUCCAUAUAGUUUGCACAGUAAAAUAGUAUGUAAGCAGUAUUUUAUAAUUAAGUUUACUAUAGUAAAAUAAUGUAGAAAUUACCAAGUGAAAUCGUUUUAUAAUCAUUUCAACAAAUACUUUAUAUGUGCUACAUUUGGUGUUUCCAUAUAGU